UCUAAUAUGGCAGAUAAGUGCAGUAGAUUUAAGCUCUACAUAUAAAGUGUAUACUUUUAUUAGAA
rnacentral:tRNA from 1 species